UACGGGGGGGGCAAGCGUUGUUCGGAAUUACUGGGCGUAAAGGGCUCGUAAGCGGCCAACUAAGUCGGAUGUGAAAUCCCCAGGCUUAACCUGGGAACUGCAUCCGAUACUGGAUGGCUUGAAUCCGGGAGAGGGAUGCAGAAUUCCAGGUGUAGCGGUGAAAUGCGUAGAUAUCUGGAGGAAUACCGGUGGCGAAGGCGGCAUCCUGGACCGGCAUUGACGCUGAGUGAGCGAAAGCCAGGGGAGCAAACGGG
rnacentral:rRNA from 1 species